UUUAUUUCUCUAUAAAUCAGUCUGACGUAAAAUGCGAGUUGAUAAUAUUUGAGGAUUGGCUUAAUUUUGAAUUAUAUUGUGUUGGAUUAAGUAGACCAUGAGGUAGAUAACUAGCUAAAUAAUAUUCUAGGUAGAUAAGCUAGUUAACUGAAAAACUAGGUAACUGACUAUCAGGCUGAGGAAAUAACUAACUAGAUAGUGGGCUGGGUAACUUGGGAACUAAAUAGCAGGCUGAGUAAAUAGCUAACUAAAUAGCAGGCUGGGUAAAUAGCUAACUAAAUAGCAGGCUGGGUAGCUAGCUAACUAAAUAGCAGGCUGGGUAGCUAGCUAACUAAAUAGCAGGCUGGGUAGCUAGCUAACUAAAUAGCAGGCUGAGUAAAUAGCUAACUAAAUAGCAGGCUGGGUAGCUAACUAAAUAGCUAGCUAACUAAAUAGCAG
ensembl:lncRNA